rnacentral:rRNA from 1 species
GACGAACGCUGGCGGCGUGCCUAAUACAUGCAAGUAGAACGCUGAAGGAGGAGCUUGCUUCUCUGGAUGAGUUGCGAACGGGUGAGUAACGCGUAGGUAACCUGCCUGGUAGCGGGGGAUAACUAUUGGAAACGAUAGCUAAUACCGCAUAAUAGCAGUUGUUGCAUGAUAACUGUUUGAAAGGUGCAAUUGCACCACUACCAGAUGGACCUGCGUUGUAUUAGCUAGUUGGUGGGGUAACGGCUCACCAAGGCGACGAUACAUAGCCGACCUGAGAGGGUGAUCGGCCACACUGGGACUGAGACACGGCCCAGACUCCUACGGGAGGCAGCAGUAGGGAAUCUUCGGCAAUGGACGGAAGUCUGACCGAGCAACGCCGCGGGAGUGAAGAAGGUUUUCGGAUCGUAAAGCUCUGUUGUAAGAGAAGAACGAGUGUGAGAGUGGAAAGUUCACACUGUGACGGUAUCUUACCAGAAAGGGACGGCUAACUACGUG